AUACGUAGGGUCCGAACGUUAUCCGGAAUUAUUGGGCGUAAAGAGUUCGUAGGUGGCAAGAAAAGUCGGGCAUUAAAGCCCUCGGCUCAACCGAGGAAUCGUAUCCGAAACUUUCUAGCUAGAGGUUCGCAGAGGCAGAUGGAAUUCAUGGUGUAGCAGUGGAAUGCGUAGAUAUCAUGAAGAACACCAAUGGCGAAGGCAGUCUGCUGGGCAAUACCUGACACUGAGGAACGAAAGCGUGGGUAGCGAACGGGAUUAGAUACCCCGGUAGUCCACGCCGUAAACGAUGCACACUAGGCAUUUGGAGUAUCGACCCUUCGAGUGCCGAAGCUAACGCGUUAAGUGUGCCGCCUGGGUAGUACGGCCGCAAGGCUAAA
rnacentral:rRNA from 1 species